AAUCAACGCUGGCGGCGUGCCUCAGACAUGCAAGUCGAACGCGAAAAUCUCCUUCGGGAGAUGAGUAGAGUGGCGCACGGGUGAGUAACACGUAGGUUAUCUACUUCCGAGUGGGGAAUAACAGCCGGAAACGGCUGCUAAUACCGCAUAAUACCGAAAGGUCAAAGCUUUAUGUGCUUGGAGAGGAGCCUGCGGCAGAUUAGCUAGUUGGUAAGGUAAUGGCUACCAAGGCGACAAUCUGUAUCCGGUCUUGGAGGACGGUCGGACACACUGACACUGAAUAACGGGUCAGACUCCUACGGGAGGCAGCAGUCGGGAAUUUUGGGCAAUGGGCGAAAGCCUGACCCAGCAACGCCGCGUGAAGGAUGAAAGUCC
rnacentral:rRNA from 1 species